GAUGAAGAACGCAGCGAAAUGCGAUACUUGGUGUGAAUUGCAGAAUCCCGUGAACCAUCGAGUCUUUGAACGCAAGUUGCGCCCGAAGCCACUAGGCCGAGGGCACGCCUGCCUGGGCGUCACACGUCGUUGCCCCCCCCAUCUACUCCUUCGGGAUUGCGGGGGGCGGAUGAUGGCCUCCCGUGCGCCUAGCCGCGCGGUUGGCAUAAAUACCAAGUCCUCGGCGACGCACGCCACGACAAUCGGUGGUUGCGAAACCUCGGUUGCCCGUCGUGUGCGUUCGUCGCGCAUCGAGGGCUCGAAAAAAUGCUCGGCUCCGGCUCGGCUUUCAACGCGACCCCAGGUCAGGCGGGGUUACCCGCUGAAUUUAAGCAUAUCAAUAAGCGGAGGA
rnacentral:misc_RNA from 1 species